rnacentral:rRNA from 1 species
UACGAAGGGGGGCUAGCGUUGCUCGGAAUCACUGGGCGUAAAGGGUGCGUAGGCGGGUCUUUAAGUCAGGGGGUGAAAUCCUGGAGCUCAACUCCAGAACUGCCUUUGAUACUGAGGAUCUUGAGUUCGGGAGAGGUGAGUGGAACUGCGAGUGUAGAGGUGAAAUUCGUAGAUAUUCGCAAGAACACCAGUGGCGAAGGCGGCUCACUGGCCCGAUACUGACGCUGAGGCACGAAAGCGUGGGGGAGCAAACAGG